rnacentral:rRNA from 1 species
AUGGCAAAGCUCACUGAUAUGACCAAUGGUGAGUACUCUAGAGUGUUUGACUACCACCUAGAAUUAGUUAGAAGCAAUCCAGGGAGCACUGUAGCUGUUUGUUUAGAUCCAGACAUUCAUGACAAGCCAGUCUUUCAGAGAAUGUAUGUGUGCCUUGAGGUUUGCAAAAAAGGGUUUCUAGCUGGAUGCAGAAGAGUGGUGGGAUUAGAUGGCUGCUUUCUGAAAGGGGCAGUAAGAGGGCAAUUUUUGUCUACUAUUGGCAGAGAUGCUAAUAAUCAGAUGUACCCACUUGCUUGGGCCACAGUUGAGGUUGAAAGCUAUGAGUCAUGGUAUUGGUUUCUCUCACUUCUCCAAAAGGACCUGCAGAUAAGCAAUCAUGGUGAUGGAUGGGUUUUCUUAUUUGAUCAACAGAAGGGUCUUAUCAUGUCUGUUAAUGAAAUUAUUCCUGAAGCAGAGCACAGAAUGUGUGCCAGACAUAUAUAUGCAAAUUGGAGGAAGCAACAUACGGAGAAGAAAUUGCAGAAAAUGUUUUGGGCAUGUGCCAAGUCCUCUGAUAGGAGUCAGUUCAACUACAACAAAGCCAAAUUAGCACAGAAAAGUCCAGAAGGAGCUAGAGAUAUUAUGAACACUGCACCAGAACACUGGAGUAGAGCAUACUUCAAACUAGGCUCAUGGUGUGAUUCAGUUGAGAAUAAUAUGUGUGAAUCAUUCAACAAUGCAAUUAUGAGGUCAAGGUUUUACCCUGUCAUCACAUCACAUGAGAUCAUUAGAAAGAAGGUGAUGGCAAGGAUA